rnacentral:rRNA from 1 species
GACAGAGGGGGCAAGCGUUGCUCGGAAUUACUGGGCGUAAAGGGCGCGUAGGCGGGAUGGCAAGUCGGUCGUGAAAUCCCUCGGCUUAACCGGGGAACUGCGUCUGAUACUGGAUGGCUUGAGAUUGGGAGAGGGAUGCGGAAUUCCAGGUGUAGCGGUGAAAUGCGUAGAUAUCUGGAGGAACACCGGUGGCGAAGGCGGCAUCCUGGACCAACACUGACGCUGAGGAGCGAAAGCCAGGGGAGCAAACGGG